AGUCACUGACAUUAGAUACCCGGGUAGUCCAGGGUGUAAACGCUGCAGACUUGGUGUUGGAAGCCCUUUGGGGGCAUUCAGUGCCGGAGAGAAGUUGUUAAGUCUGCUACUUGGGGAGUACGUCCGCAAGGAUGAAACUUAAAGGAAUUGGCGGGGGAGCACCGCAACGGGAGGAGCGUGCGGUUUAAUUGGAUUCAACACCGUAAACUCACCAGGGAAGACUGUUACAUGAAGGCCGAGAUGAAGACUCUGCUAGAUUUUUCAG
rnacentral:rRNA from 1 species